rnacentral:lncRNA from 1 species
GUGCUUUCCAAGGUAUGAUUUCAAAACAAAAAAAAUAUUCUAAAAGGUGCUUUUCAAAAACUUGAUCUCAAACCAAAAAAGGCUUAAAAGGUGCUUUGAAAAUCUUUAUCUCAAACCAAAAAAGGAUUGAAAGGUGCUUUCAAAAUCUUGAUCUCAAACCAAAUACAAGGUCCAAAAGGUGCUUUAAAGAACUUGAUCUCAAACCAAAAACAAGGUUUCAAAAAAGGUGCUUUAAAAAGAUAUGAUCUCAAACCCAGAAACAUGGUUCCAAAGGUGCUUUCAAAGACUUGUUCUCAAACCCAGAAACAUGGUUCAGAAGGUGCUUUCCAAGGUAUGAUUUCAAAACAAAAAAAAUAUUCUAAAAGGUGCUUUUCAAAAACUUGAUCUCAAACCAAAAAAGGCUUAAAAGGUACUUUGAAAAUCUUGAUCUCAAACCAAAAAAGGCUUGAAAGGUGCUUUCAAAAUCUUGAUCUCAAACCAAAUACAAGGUCCAAAAGGUGCUUUAAAGAACUUGAUCUCAAACCAAAAACAAGGUUCCAAAAAGGUGCUUUAAAAAGACGUGAUCUCAAACCCAGAAACAUGGUUCCAAAGGUGCUUUCAAAGACGUGUUCUCAAACAAAAAACGUUCAAAAGGUGCUUUCAAAGACUUGUUCUUAAACUCAGAAACAUGGUUCAGAAGGUGCUUUCCAAGGUAUGAUUUCAAAACAAAAAAAAAAUUCUAAAAAGGUGCUUUUCAAAAACUUGAUCUCAGACCAAAAAAGGCUUGAAAGGUGCUUUAAAAAUCUUUAUCUCAAACCAAAAAGGCUUGAAAGGUGCUUUCAAAAUCUUGAUCUCAAACCAAAAACAAGGUCCAAAAGGUGCUUUAAAAAGCAAGGAUCCAAAAAGGUGCUUUAAAAGACGUGAUCUCAAACCCAGAAACAUGGUUCCAAAGGUGCUUUCAAAAGACUUGUUCUCAAACAAUAAAAGGUUCAAAAGGUGCUUUCAAAGACUUGUUCUCAAACCCAGAAACAUGGUUCAGAAGGUGCUUUCCAAGGUAUUAUUUCAAAACAAAAAAAAUAUUCUAAAAGGUGCUUUUCAAAAACUUAAUCUCAAACCAAAAAAGGCUUAAAAGGUGCUUUGAAAAUCUUUAUCUCAAACCAAAAAAGGCUUGAAAGGUGCUUUCAAAAUCUUGAUCUCAAACCAAAUACAAGGCCCAAAAGGUGCUUUAAAGAACUUGAUCUCAAACCAAAAACAAGGUUCCAAAAAGGUGCUUUAAAAAGACGUGAUCUCAAACCCAGAAACAUGGUUCCAAAGGUGGUUUCAAAGACUUGUUCUCAAACAAAAAAGGUUCAAAAGGU